CCUACGGGAGGCAGCAGUGGGGAAUCUUGCGCAAUGGGCGAAAGCCUGACGCAGCCAUGCCGCGUGAAUGAUGAAGGUCUUAGGAUUGUAAAAUUCUUUCAGUAGGGACGAUAAUGACGGUACCUACAGAAGAAGCCCCGGCUAACUUCGUGCCAGCAGCCGCGGUAAUACGAAGGGGGCUAGCGUUGCUCGGAAUUACUGGGCGUAAAGGGAGCGUAGGCGGGUUAUCAAGUUGGAGGUGAAAGCCCAGGGCUCAACCUUGGAAUUGCCUUCAAAACUGAUAGCCUAGAGUAUGAUAGAGGUAUGUGGAACUCCGAGUGUAGAGGUGAAAUUCGUAGAUAUUCGGAAGAACACCAGUGGCGAAGGCGACAUACUGGGUCAUGACUGACGCUGAGGCUCGAAAGCGUGGGGAGCAAACAGGAUUAGAUACCCUGGUAGUCCACGCUGUAAACGAUGAUUGCUAGUUGUCGACGGCANGCGUCGUGCGCNGCUACGCAUAGACACNCCGCGUGGGAGGUACGGUCGCGAGAGUAAACGUACGAGAAGUUAGUAGNGUUGNGNGNGCGAGCGACGACGAGGAGAGG
rnacentral:rRNA from 1 species